rnacentral:rRNA from 1 species
GCUCAUUACAACAGCUAAAAUUUACUUGAUUUUGACUUUUAUCCUACAUGGAUAACUGUGGUAAUUCUGGAGCUAAUACAUGCAUAAAAGAUAAAACAUUUUACUGUUUUAUUGCGUAUAUUAGUAUUAAAACCAAGCAUUCUUCGGAAUGUUUUGUGUUGAAACUGAAUAUAUCAUGCUGAUCGUAUGGUCUUGUACCGACGACAUGUCAUUCAAGUGUCUGAUCUAUCAACUUUCUAUAUAAGUAUAUAGUACUUAUAUGGUUUUAACGGAUAACGGGGUAUUAGGGUACGACUCCGGAGAAAAUGCCUGAGAAACGGCGUUUACAUCCAAGGAAGGCAGCAGGCGCGAAAAUUACCCACUCUCAGUACGAGGAGGUAGUGACGAGAAAUGACAAGAUCUAUUCCUUCGGGGAUGGAUCAUUGGAAUGGUUUGAUUUUAAAAUCAUUAAAGAGUAUCAAUGAGAGGGCAAGUCUGGUGCCAGCAGCCGCGGUAAUUCCAGCU